CAGUCGCCGCGGGAAUACGAAGGGGGCUAGCGUUGCUCGGAAUCACUGGGCGUAAAGGGUGCGUAGGCGGGUCUUUAAGUCAGGGGUGAAAUCCUGGAGCUCAACUCCAGAACUGCCUUUGAUACUGAAGAUCUUGAGUUCGGGAGAGGUGAGUGGAACUGCGAGUGUAGAGGUGAAAUUCGUAGAUAUUCGCAAGAACACCAGUGGCGAAGGCGGCUCACUGGCCCGAUACUGACGCUCAUGCACGAAAGCGUGGGGAGCAAACAGGAUUAGAUACCCCAGUAGUCCCUGUCUCUUAUAC
rnacentral:rRNA from 1 species